rnacentral:rRNA from 1 species
UACAGAGGGGGCAAGCGUUAUUCGGAAUUAUUGGGCGUAAAGGGCGCGUAGGCGGCUUGGCAAGUGGAAGGUGAAAUCCCUCGGCUUAACCGAGGAACUCGACCCUCCAACUGCUUAGCUUGAGACCGGGAGAGGUGAGUGGAAUUCCCAGUGUAGCGGUGAAAUGCGUAGAGAUGUGGAGGAACACCGAUGGCGAAGGCAGCCCCCUGGGUUAGCACUGACGCUCAUGCACAAAAGCGUGGGGAGCAAACAGG